rnacentral:rRNA from 1 species
GGCGAACGGGUGAGGAACACGUGAAGAAUCUGCCCUCCACUUUGGGAUAACACCGGGAAACCGGUGCUAAUACCGAAUAUUGAAACAUAAGUGGCAUCACUGAGUUUUGAAAGAAUUUCGGUGGAGGAUGACUUCGCGGCCUAUCAGCUAGUUGGUGAGGUAAUGGCUCACCAAGGCAACGACGGGUAGCCGGCCUGAGAGGGCGACCGGCCACACUGGGACUGAGACACGGCCCAGACUCCUACGGGAGGCAGCAGUAGGGAAUAUUGGGCAAUGGUCGCAAGACUGACCCAGCCAUGCCGCGUGCAGGAAGACGGCCCUCUGGGUUGUAAACCGCUUUCAGUAGGGAAGAAGCGAAAGUGACGGUACCUACAGAAGAAGCACCGGCUAACUAUGUGCCAGCAGCCGCGGUAAUACGGAGGGUGCAAGCGUUGUCCGGAUUUAUUGGGUUUAAAGGGUGCGUAGGCGGCUGAAUAAGUCAGCGGUGAAAGACUUCGGCUUAACCGGAGCAGUGCCGUUGAUACUGUUUAGCUUGAGUGUUGGAGGGGUACAUGGAAUUGAUGGUGUAGCGGUGAAAUGCAUAGAUACCAUCAGGAACACCGAUAGCGAAGGCAUUGUACUGGCCAACAACUGACGCUGAGGCACGAAAGUGUGGGGAUCGAACAGGAUUAGAUACCCUGGUAGUCCACACCGUAAACGAUGAUUACUCGCUGUUAUGGUGUAUGCUGUAGCGGCCAAGCGAAAGCGUUAAGUAAUCCACCUGGGGAGUACGCCGGCAACGGUGAAACUCAAAGGAAUUGACGGGGGUCCGCACAAG